AUUGAACGCUGGCGGCAGGCCUAACACAUGCAAGUCGGGCGAGCGGCAGACGGGUGAGUAAUGUAUGGGGAUCUGCCUGAUGGCGGGGGAUCACUCCUGGAAACGGUAGCUAAUACCGCAUACCAUCAGAUGAACCCAUAUGGGAUUAGCUAGUAGGUAAGGUAACGGAUUACCUAGGCGACGAUCCCUAGCUGGUCUGAGAGGAUGAUCAGCCAGACUGGGACUGAGACACGGCCAAGACUCCUACGGGAGGCAGCAGUGGGGAAUAUUGCACAAGGGGCGCAAGCCGGAUGUAGCCAUGCCGCGUGUAGGAAGAAGGCCGUCGGGUUGUAAAGUACUUUCAGUCGGGAGGCGUUACCGACAGAAGAAGAACCGGCUAACUCCGUGCCAGAAGCCGCGGUAAUAC
rnacentral:rRNA from 1 species